UAUAAGUGAAAAUUUUGCUUAAUUUUGAUGACAAAAUAGAGAAAGUGCCUAUCAAAUAAAAAUAUGCAAAUUACAAGAGAUAAAAUACGAUAAACUAGGUAAAUGUUAAAUACCCUUUAAUAAUUUUUAAAAGAAUUUGUGGUUGAAACUGAAACACAAUGCUUCUUCUUCAUUAUCCACUUGCUAUGACAACAAUGAAACAUUCUUCUUCUUCUUCUUCACACUCUCUCUCGAUUCUUCCACAAAACUACUCUCCAUUACAACAUCAACAAUGGCUUCAGUAAUCUCAGAAUUUCUACAAUAAUUAAAAAAA
rnacentral:lncRNA from 1 species